UACGUAGGGGGCUAGCGUUGUCCGGAAUCAUUGGGCGUAAAGAGCGUGUAGGCGGUCCGGUAAGUCCGUUGUGAAAGUCAGGGGCUCAACCCUUGAAUGCCGGCGGAUACUGUCAAGCUCGAGUCCGGAAGAGGCGAGUGGAAUUCCUGGUGUAGCGGUGAAAUGCGCAGAUAUCAGGAGGAACACCAAUGGCGAAGGCAGCUCGCUGGGACGUGACUGACGCUGAGACGCGAAAGCGUGGGGAGCAAACAGG
rnacentral:rRNA from 1 species